rnacentral:rRNA from 1 species
UUCCCCUAGUAACUGCGAGUGAAGCGGGAAAAGCUCAAAUUUAAAAUCUGGCGGUCUUUGGCCGUCCGAGUUGUAGUCUGGAGAAGUGCUUUCCGC